CUUUUUUUUUUUUUCGUUCUUUUCCUUUUUUUUUCUCCUGU
rnacentral:ribozyme from 1 species